rnacentral:tRNA from 1 species
GGGUGUAUAGCUCAGUGGUGGAGCCUGUGUUUAGCAGGCAUGAGGCCCUGGGUUCAAUCCCCAGUACCUCCA